CAGAGAGGUCACACCCGUUCCCAUACCGAACACGGAAGUUAAGCUCUCUAGCGCCGAUGGUAGUUGGGACCUUGUCCCUGUGAGAGUAGGACGUCGCCAAGCA
rnacentral:rRNA from 7 species